GACUACAUCUGGGUGUAGGUUGAGCUAUGGUUCAGACUACAUCUGGGUGUAGGUUGAGCUAUGGUUCAGACUACAUCUGGGUGUAGGUUGAGCUACGGUUUGGACCAGAUCUGGGUUUAGGUCGAGCUAUGGUUCAGACCAGAUCUGGGUGUAGGUCAAACUAUGUUUUAAGACCAGAUCUGGGUGUUGAUUCAGACUACAUCUGGGUGUAGGUUGAGCUAUGGUUCAGACCAAAUCUGGGUUUAGGUCGAGCUAUGGUUCAGACCAGAUCUGGGUGUAGGUUGAGCUAUGAUUUAGACCAGAUCUGGGUGUAGGUUGAGCUAUGGUUCAGACCAGAUUUGGGUGUAGGUUGAGCUAUUGUUCAGACCAGAUCUGGGUGUAGGUUGAGCUUCAGUUCGGACCAGAUCUAGGUCUAAGGCUCAGAUGAGUUUCAAAUUGGAUCAUUACCAAAAUGUGAACUUUUGCCUUUCAACGUGUUUUGUUGUGCAUCUGCAAAAAGUGUGUGUGAAUUAAAUUCCACCAAACAGAACACACUUUGCCUUAAAGUUCCCACGAGAGCUUUCUAUGAAACAGAACUGUGCCCAAUCAGAGAAGCAGAAUCCUUCGAAUGCAGACUUUUCAAGUUUAUUGCCUUUAUGAAAACCUGCUGGUACGACAUAAUGAAUUUACCCAUCAGCGUAUAUCUAUCUAUAUGAACAUGUUUAAAUAAAGUUACAACACAGAGUUGUAGAACACAAUGCUAUUUUUAUUUUAUGUUGAAGUAUUCUUUGGUAUGAAUGUACAUAGUUUGUAUCAUGUAUUAAUUGUGUAAUUAACUGCCUCCUGGAAGCAGGAACCGUAA
ensembl:lncRNA